rnacentral:rRNA from 1 species
UACGGAGGAGGCAAGCGUUAUCCGGAAUUAUUGGGCGUAAAGCGUCCGUAGGUGGCUCUUCAAGUCUGCUGUCAAAGAGCGGGGCUUAACCCUGCAAAGGCAGUGGAAACUGAAAGGCUAGAGAGCCGUAGGGGUAGAGGGAAUUCCCGGUGUAGCGGUGAAAUGCGUAGAGAUCGGGAAGAACAUCGGUGGCGAAAGCGCUCUACUGGACGGUAUCUGACACUGAGACACGAAAGCCAGGGGAGCAAACGGG